rnacentral:rRNA from 1 species
UACGUAGGGUGCAAGCGUUAAUCGGAAUUACUGGGCGUAAAGCGUGCGCAGGCGGCUUUGCAAGACAGAUGUGAAAUCCCCGGGCUCAACCUGGGAACUGCAUCUGUGACUGCAUAGCUAGAGUACGGUAGAGGGGGAUGGAAUUCCGCGUGUAGCAGUGAAAUGCGUAGAUAUGCGGAGGAACACUGAUGGCGAAGGCAAUCCCCUGGACCUGUACUGACGCUCAUGCACGAAAAGCGUGGGGAGCAAACAGG